GCGCCGGGUUCCUGUGAGAGUCCACGAUGCCUGCCUGACUGGCGAGGUCUUGGGCUCGCUGAAAUGCGACUGCGGCCUGCAGUUGGAAAUGGCAUUGGACGAGCAGUCCAAACAGCAGCUUGGCGUCACCAUCUACAUGCCGCAGGAGGGUCGCGGGAUCGGAUUGGCCAACAAG
rnacentral:SRP_RNA from 11 species